CUGACGUUCCCAGCUAACAUGAGCAAUCAGGCGUCCCGAAAAAAAACAGAAGCAAAAAGCCUUGCUUUGUCUGAUCAAAAGUCAGGCUGAGUGUUAGAAAGAGUAAGUUUUCUUUUAACUGUACAUUGAGCGUCAUCCCUACAUGUUGGUCAAAAUCUAGUUUCUUACCCUUUUUACUUAUCUUGAGGAGGGGGGCAGAUUCCCAAUAAUUAUAUUGUAUCUUUGAACGCAGUUUGCCGAUGCUGUUUCGAAGAGAACAGGGUCGUCGUAGCUAUUUCAUAAUCUCCCGAACGAAAGGGGAAGCUGGCGAUUACAUUUCCGAUUAAGUAAAAGGCGAUAACUGAGUGGAGACCUAUUCACUAUCUCCUUCGCUUCGCCAUUUUCUCUCCAUCAGCUUUUCCCAAUUCUCAUCUAUUGGGGGAAUCGCUCUUUUACAGUCACUUUCAAUUACAGAUUCACAGUCUAAUUGAUUCGUGCCGUCAGUUUAAGCCUUGAGCCUAUACUCAUUUCCAAGACUGUGAUCGUGUAAAGCUAAAGAAACGGUUCCAAAAAUUAAAUAGACGUACCUUUCUGGAAUAAGAUCAGGUAAACACUGCAGAGAUUCGACUGCUAUUUGAUGGUGAAUCAAAUAUAAUGUAAAUACUGAAGUUUAAGGGGAUCAGUGAAUUAUUACGGCGCUGUCUAUUUUCCUGCAGGAGUCCAAGUCAACGGGAGGGCUGAGACCCGGAUGAAGCUGAAUUUCUUUACACUGAUGUGCACUUCGAAGCUUUGUCGCGGUUCUUAUCAGCAACGAAAUCGGAUUUGAAACCCUAUUGUUAAAGUUUGAAAAUAAUUUUUAAAAAGCUAGGGCCAAAAAUAAGACUGUGGUCAGACGAAGUCCUCACUCGAGUUAUUUCAGAGCUUUGCACUUUAAAGAUGCAGCGCCUGCUUAACAUUGAACUUCAACUUUGAAAAAAUUCUGCAUCCGUGUAAGAAAUGUACUUUUUUUUAAAAAAAGUUCUAUCGCGCGAAAUGAAAGCUAAAUCAUAAUGUCAAUGGCUUAAAUCAAAUCUUCGGGAGAGACAGAGAGAGGGACAGAGAAAAAGGUAAAUAUUUGGAGGAGCCCUGGCGACAUUUGUGAAGUCGGUCGUGUCAGUAAUUGCAAUGAACCCGCGAGUUAGGUAUAAUCUGUCGCGCAUGGAUUCAUUCAUUUUUAAAUAUCGAGAACCACUGGGUAAAAGUUUGAUAACUAUAUUUGUGGCCAGUAGAUUUUUAUUGUUGCCCUAAAGCUAAUUAAUACGGCAUGGAAACGGCCGGCUAUUGUUGUCCUUUUCCAAAUUUUGCAGGAAUUUCUCUUCCCAGUCGUUUUCCGUUCUCCCCACGAGUUACAUCGCUUGUCAUCUCGCAAACGAAGUCACUUAAUUGCCUGCAACCGCAAAAACACUUUACUAUGCCAAAAGGCAAGUCAAUUUUCUAACUUGGAACGUUUUCAUUCAUUUCUGCCCUAUCAUUUUCCCCAGCAGAUGGGAUAAAUAUUGCAAAUGAGAAGGACAACAUCAUGUAAAGCUGAAAGUGGAUAUAGCCUCAUCCCAGCCUCUACAAGUCCUCUGAAAAAUGCAACUGAAGCUAGUGCUCAGACAGCAACUGCUGCCUUUUGACGGGACUCUUCCACUGUAUUGUAAGACACAGUUAUUCAUUCAUUAAAAAGUAGCUGGUUUUGAAAUCUGCACGGUGAACUGCGAGCAUCGAGAAAUUCGGACAUUUCGGAGAAAGCAUCAUUUUGCAUUCUAAAUCAAUAAUUGUACUAAUAAACCCUUUUCCCGGCGCUGGAUGACGUCGGGUUGGGAUGUUAUUGUAGUGGUUUUCCAAUGAGUUUGUAUUUUUUUAAUUGCCAAAAAAAAAAGGUCGUGACUCUCAAAAUCUAAACUGCAACUUAUUGGCUUCAGCGGAGUUAGUGUCUUUUUAACGAAAAUCCGUGUUUUUGUUUUGUUGUCUGUGGUGGUUUUGCCGCCUCUUCAGUGGCAAUGACAACAGAUAGUGUCGGCCAUUUUUAUGCCUAAUGUUUCGGAAAUUCCGCACAAAGUUCAUUGAAGCGAAAAUACUUCGAAAAACUAGCAUUUUAUUGAGAGAAAAAUACUUACUGUGUAGUAAUAAACAACAUUUAUUCGAGAUUCAAAGAACAUUCCAAGUUUUGAUAGGCACAGCCUCCAGGUGGAUCAUACUUAAAGAUGAAAAACUAAACCACAGUUGUGCGAGAUUGUUCCUUUGUUAAUUUUAUUGAGCCCCAGUAGAUUUAUUAAAAUGCUCCUGUAACAAGAGAUUGUAUAUAAAACAUUGCGAGCUACAACUCAGCAAAAUUAAUAUGUUAAACGUAUUCCUUAUUAUUAUUUUCGCGCCCAAUCAAAAACAGGAAAGUACGAUAAUAGCCUCACAGGAGAAGGAGCAUUUAGUAAGGAGCGGCAAUGAAACUUGAAAGUAAUACACUUUGUAUAUUAUAAGUGAGCACUUUACGCAUUUGAAAAAGCUGUAAGGACAUUCAUUUUAGUCUAAAACGAUAUACUGUACAACGAGUGCUUGAUUGUAUCUGUAGUACAGCGCUCGGAAUGCAUCAAAAUGUUUGCGGUAAAUAUUUACGAUUUAAAUCCGGGUUCAUUUUUAGCUCCUAUAAAAUUUCCUAAUAAAACUA
rnacentral:lncRNA from 1 species